GUUAGUGUCUCUCAAAGCAGAGCCAGGCCUAUGCAGAGUGCACUCUCCAUCAUUGGCUUCCAUUCCAAAUCAACGCUUCUCUUUAGACCACCCCUCUUGCGUUUUCACACGCACCCACAAAAAUUAUGAGAGAGAGAGCAGAAGAGUUGAAAUUUCGGAGAAGAUAUGAUGAUCGGAAGCUUCUUCGAUGAGGGGAAUGUUGUCUGGUUCGACGCACGCCGGCGAUUAAACGGUGCCGCCGUCUGUGUCGUCGGACCAGGCUUCAUUCCCCUCAAUCACGGCUUCUCUUCGUUCAUGCCCAAUUGGAUCUUCCAUUCUCCCUGUUCCGCAGCAAGCACUUGAAAGAUUGGAAAUUAAGCAAGCUCUUGAAAGAUUGGAAAUUAAGAGGUUGAGAUGAGCUCAUGAGGACACAGCAGGUGCUUUCGGUGGUGCUUACUUCAGGUUCUUGUUUUCAAUGGGAUUAUUUCUAUUAAACUGCGAGGCUCGUGCUUAAGCUAUGUGAAUAUUUAGUUUAACCGAGUAUACAAUGCGAGUAUUCAUUUAGUCUCACUUAUUUCUAACAAGAUAACUGCUCGACUACUCGAGUAAACAUGAAGAUAUGUAUUUUCCAACAUGCGUGUGUGUGUACAUAUAUAUAUAUAUAUAUAUAUGCUCUCCUUGUAAGUUUAAUCUUUGCAAUUGAAUUAUCAUUUAGGUUAAAAUCAUUUUGGAACCUUAUAAUUUGUAGUGCUAUUAAUUUGAUCAUCAUUUGUGAGUUGUAUCCCAAA